rnacentral:rRNA from 1 species
GUGGGGAAUCUUCCGCAAUGGACGAAAGUCUGACGGAGCAACGCCGCGUGAGUGAUGAAGGUCUUCGGAUUGUAAAGCUCUGUUAAUCGGGACGAAAGAGCCUAGUGUGAAUAAUGCUAGGAAGUGACGGUACCGGAAUAGAAAGCCACGGCUAACUACGUGCCAGCAGCCGCGGUAAUACGUAGGUGGCAAGCGUUGUCCGGAAUUAUGGGGCGUAAAGCGCGCGCAGGCGGAUCUGCCAGGCUGUCUUAAAAUUUCGGGGCUUAACCCCGUGAUGGGAUGGAAACUACAGAUCUAGAGUAUCGGAGAGGAAAGUGGAAUUCCUAGUGUAGCAGUGAAAUGCGUAGAUAUUAGGAAGAACACCAGUGGCGAAGGCGACUUUCUGGACGAAAACUGACGCUGAGGCGCGAAAGCCAGGGGAGCGAACGGGAUUAGAUACCCGAGUAGUCC